CUCCACCAUCAGUUGAAGCUGCCAGCAUGAUCUUAAUUUUCCUUCUUUUUAUCAAGGAAAGAUCAGAUCAUAUGGCAGUUUCACCUGUUGCUGCU
rnacentral:pre_miRNA from 1 species